GACUCCGUAGCUCAGCUGGUAGAGCAAAUGACUCUUAAUCAUUGGGCCGAGAGUUCGAAUCUCUCCGGGGUCACCA
rnacentral:tRNA from 1 species